AGCUUUGCGCAUUGGCAGUAUCGUAGCCAAUGAGGUUUAUCUGAGGCGCGAUUAUUGCUAAUUGAAAGUAGAUAUGCAAAGAAUACUGGUGUAACAAUACUUAUAUCAGACAAAAUAGAUUUUGAAAUAAA
rnacentral:snRNA from 1 species